GACGAACGCUGGCGGCGUGCUUAACACAUGCAAGUCGAACGGAAAGGCUCCAGCUUGCUGGCGUACUCGAGUGGCGAACGGGUGAGUAACACGUGGGUAAUCUGCCCUGCACCCUGGGAUAAGCCUGGGAAACUGGGUCUAAUACUGGAUAUGACCUUUCUCCUUAUGGGGUUUGGUGGAAAGUUUUUCGGUGUAGGAUGAGCCCGCGGCCUAUCAGCUUGUUGGUGGGGUGAUGGCCUACCAAGGCGACGACGGGUAGCCGGCCUGAGAGGGUGAUCGGCCACAUUGGGACUGAGAUACGGCCCAGACUCCUACGGGAGGCAGCAGUGGGGAAUAUUGCACAAUGGGCGGAAGCCUGAUGCAGCGACGCCGCGUGAGGGAUGACGGCCUUCGGGUUGUAAACCUCUUUCAGCAGGGACGAAGCGUAAGUGACGGUACCUGCAGAAGAAGCACCGGCUAACUAUGUG
rnacentral:rRNA from 1 species